rnacentral:rRNA from 1 species
AGCAGCCGCGGUAAUUCCAGCUCCGAUAGCGUAUAUUAAAGUUGUUGCAGUUAAAAAGCUCGUAGUUGAAUUUCGGGAUCAAUGUUUCGGUCAUGCCGUUGGUAUGUACUGAUAUUAUUGGUUUCUCACCUUCUAAAGAACCGUAAUGCCAUUUAUUUGGUGUCGUGGGGAAUCAGGACUGUUACUUUGAAAAAAUUAGAGUGUUUAAAGCAGGCUCACGCUUGAAUACAUUAGCAUGGAAUAAUGAAAUAGGACGUUUGAUUCUAUUUUGUUGGUUUCUAGGAUCGACGUAAUGAUUAAUAGGGAUAGUUGGGGGCAUUAGUAUUCAAUUGUCAGAGGUGAAAUUCUUGGAUUUAUUGAAGACUAACUACUGCGAAAGCAUUUGCCAAGGAUGUUUUCAUUAAUCAAGAACGAAAGUUGGGGGCUCGAAGACGAUCAGAUACCGUCCUAGUCUCAACCAUAAACGAUGCCGACCAGGGAUCGGCGGAUGUUACUUUUAGGACUC